rnacentral:rRNA from 1 species
UGGGGAAUAUUGGACAAUGGGCGCAAGCCUGAUCCAGCCAUGCCGCGUGAGUGACGAAGGCCUUAGGGUUGUAAAGCUCUUUUGGCGGGGAAGAUAAUGACGGUACCCGCAGAAUAAGCUCCGGCUAACUUCGUGCCAGCAGCCGCGGUAAUACGAAGGGAGCUAGCGUUAUCCGGAAUUAUUGGGUUUAAAGGGUGCGUAGGCGGACUAAUAAGUCAGUGGUGAAAGCCUGCAGCUUAACUGCAGAAUUGCCAUUGAUACUGUUAGUCUUGAGUACAGUUGAGGUAGGCGGAAUGUGUCAUGUAGCGGUGAAAUGCUUAGAUAUGACACAGAACACCGAUUGCGAAGGCAGCUUGCUAAGCUGUAACUGACGCUGAGGCACGAAAGCGUGGGGAGCAAACA